rnacentral:rRNA from 1 species
GACGUAGGGCGCAAGCGUUGUCCGGAUUUACUGGGCGUAAAGGGCGCGUAGGCGGCUUUAUAAGUUACUUGUGAAAUCUUGAAGCUCAACUUCAAGCGGCCAAGUGAUACUGUAGAGCUAGAGUGCGGAAGGGGCAACUGGAAUUCUUGGUGUAGCGGUGAAAUGCGUAGAUAUCAAGAGGAACACCUGAGGCGAAGGCGGGUUGCUGGGCCGACACUGACGCUGAGGCGCGAAAGCUAGGGGAGCAAACAGG